GUCGAGCGGCAGCGCGAGGGCAACCUUGGCGGCGAGCGGCGAACGGGUGAGUAACACAUCGGAACGUAUCCCGUAGUGGGGGAUAACCCGGCGAAAGCCGGGCUAAUACCGCAUAUGCUCUACGGAGGAAAGUGGGGGACUUCGCAAGGGGCCUCACGCUAUGGGAGCGGCCGAUGGCCGAUUAGCUAGUUGGUGGGGUAAAGGCCUACCAAGGCGACGAUCGGUAGCUGGUCUGAGAGGAUGAUCAGCCACACUGGGACUGAGACACGGCCCAGACUCCUACGGGAGGCAGCAGUGGGGAAUUUUGGACAAUGGGGGCAACCCUGAUCCAGCCAUGCCGCGUGAGUGAAGAAGGCCUUCGGGUUGUAAAGCUCUUUUGGUCGGGAAGAAAGGGUUUCCUUGAAUACGGGAGAUCCAUGACGGUACCGGCAGAAUAAGCACCGGCUAACUACGUGCCAGCAGCCGCGGUAAUACGUAGGGUGCGAGCGUUAAUCGGAAUUACUGGGCGUAAAGCGUGCGUAGGCGGUUCUCCAAGUCCGUUGUGAAAGCCCCGGGCUCAACCUGGGAAUGGCAGUGGAAACUAGGGGACUUGAAUCUGGCAGAGGGGGGUGGAAUGCCGCGUGUAGCAGUGAAAUGCGUAGAGAUGCGGCGGAACACCGAUGGCGAAGGCAGCCCCCUGGGCUGAGAUUGACGCUCAGGCACGAAAGCGUGGGGAGCAAACAGGAUUAGAU
rnacentral:rRNA from 1 species